rnacentral:rRNA from 1 species
GCACUUGUCGUAAACAUUCGUUGCUCUUAUGAGUUAGCGGCAGAGGGUGAGUAACACGUGCAGUAACCUGCCCAUAAACUGAGAUAACUCCGGGAAACCGGGGCUAAUACCGGAAACAUUUUGAACUGCAGGUUCGAAAUUGAAAGGCGGCUUCGGCUGUCACUUAUGGAUGGACCCGCGUCGCAUUAGCUAGUUGGUGAGGUAACGGCUCACCAAGGCAACGAUGCGUAGCCGACCUGAGAGGGUGAUCGGCCACACUGGGACUGAGACACGGCCCAGACUCCUACGGGAGGCAGCAGUAGGGAAUCUUCCGCAAUGGACGAAAGUCUGACGGAGCAACGCCGCGUGAGUGAUGAAGGCUUUCGGGUCGUAAAACUCUGUUGUUAGGGAAGAACAAGUGCUAGUUGAAUAAGCUGGCACCUUGACGGUACCUAACCAGAAAGCCACGGCUAACUACGUGCCAGCAGCCGCGGUAAUACGUAGGUGGCAAGCGUUAUCCGGAAUUAUUGGGCGUAAAGCGCGCGCAGGUGGUUUCUUAAGUCUGAUGUGAAAGCCCACGGCUCAACCGUGGAGGGUCAUUGGAAACUGGGAGACUUGAGUGCAGAAGAGGAAAGUGGAAUUCCAUGUGUAGCGGUGAAAUGCGUAGAGAUAUGGAGGAACACCAGUGGCGAAGGCGACUUUCUGGUCUGUAACUGACACUGAGGCGCGAAAGCGUGGGGGAGCAAACAGGAUUAGAUACCCUGGUAGUCCACGCCGUAACGAUGAGUGCUAAGUGUUAGAGGGUUUCCGCCCUUUAGUGCUGAAGUUAACGCAGUAAGCACUCCGCCUGGGGAGUACGGGCCGCAGGCUGAAACUCAAAGGAAUUGACGGGGGCCCGCACAAGCCGGUGGAGCAAGUGGUUUAAUUUCGAAGGCACGCGAGAACCUACCAGGUCUUGACAUCC